rnacentral:rRNA from 1 species
AUUGAACGCUGGCGGCAGGCCUAACACAUGCAAGUCGAGCGGUAGAGAGGUGCUUGCAUCUCUUGAGAGCGGCGGACGGGUGAGUAAUGCCUAGGAAUCUGCCUAGUGGUGGGGGAUAACGUUCGGAAACGGACGCUAAUACCGCAUACGUCCUACGGGAGAAAGCGGGGGAUCUUCGGACCUCGCGCCAUUAGAUGAGCCUAGGUCGGAUUAGCUAGUUGGUGAGGUAAUGGCUCACCAAGGCGACGAUCCGUAACUGGUCUGAGAGGAUGAUCAGCCACACUGGGACUGAGACACGGCCCAGACUCCUACGGGAGGCAGCAGUGGGGAAUAUUGGACAAUGGGCGAAAGACCUGAUCCAGCAAUGCCGCGUGAGUGAUGAAGGCC